rnacentral:rRNA from 1 species
UACGUAGGGUGCAAGCGUUGUCCGGAAUUAUUGGGCGUAAAGAGCUCGUAGGCGGUCUGUCGCGUCUGCUGUGAAAACUCAGGGCUUAACCCUGAGCUUGCAGUGGGUACGGGCAGACUAGAGUGCGGUAGGGGAGACUGGAAUUCCUGGUGUAGCGGUGAAAUGCGCAGAUAUCAGGAGGAACACCGGUGGCGAAGGCGGGUCUCUGGGCCGUAACUGACGCUCAUGUGCGAAAGCGUGGGGAGCAAACAGG